CGUGGAGACAGGUGGUGCAUGGUUGUCGUCAGCUCGUGUCGUGAGAUGUUGGGUUAAGCCCCGCAACGAGCGCAACCCCUGCUAUUAGUUGCUAACAUGAAAGAUGAGCACUCUAAUGGGACUGCCGGUGACAAGCCGGAGGAAGGUGGGGAUGACGUCAAGUCCUCAUGGCCUUUAUGCCCAGGGCUACACACGUGCUACAAUGGGCGGCACAAAGGGCAGCGACGCCGCAAGGUGUAGCAAAUCCCAAAAAACCGUUCUCAGUUCGGAUCGGAGUCUGCAACUCGACUCCGUGAAGUUGGAAUCGCUAGUAAUCGUGGAUCAGCAUGCCACGGUGAAUACGUUCCCGGGCCUUGUACACACCGCCCGUCACACCACGAAAGUCUGCUGUACUCGAAGUCGCUGAG
rnacentral:rRNA from 1 species